CUCUGACUUUUUUCAGCGCUGGCACCUCGCGCAGGCUAUCCAAUUUCUCUGUGCCUCUGACAGCCCGUCCAGAAGAGGGCGCUGAGGCAGCCAGCGCUCACGUCCUGGGAGAGUUCUAAGCAUCCCAAGAGCGAACGCCUCUGAAGAGAUUUACCCUGUACGUGUGGACUUGUAAAGGAGGCAAAAACCUUCAACCGAAACGCUGGCUGCGAUGUCCAACCUAUGACGGCACCGAGAAGAGACCAGUGGCAGUUAUAGGAGCCAUACGUCUGCAGAGAGGCCUGAAGACCGUUGUGUUAACCCAGCACCAUUUAAUAUUUUCAUUAAUGACUUGAAGGAUGGAAUCGAGACCCAGCUAAUCAGAUGUCGGCAUGAUACAAAGCUGGAAGGGAUCUUAGCUACUCGGGAGGACAAGAUUAAAAUACAAUCCAAGCUUGACGAAUUGCAGAGGUGGACCUAAAUCAAUAAAGAGAACGGCAAUAAAGAUAAAUGCAGGCUGCCGUGCACCGCGCUGAGGAAAUUAUCCGGGUACCAAAUGGCGAUGAGAGAAAUGAGUUUUGAGGGGGCCAGCAGGAGCUCACCUGGAGGUGAAUUCAUCAAGUCAUAGUAUUUGUAAAGUGGAGGCUCGGCUCUGUCGUCCAGUGGACCUCAAACGCCAGCAACUUGUCAGCACCUUGAGAUGUGCAGGAGCCUUGCGUCGUGGAUCCUACGUCCCCAGUGCCUCUGGGUGAUUGAAUAAAGGAACGGACGAAUGAGUGAAUGCUGAAUAAAUACCGAACACAUUAAAUAUUUAUAAACAUGCA